rnacentral:lncRNA from 10 species
GCAGAAGCUCAGUCUAAGUGCCUGCAACAGAAUUUGUCCCAUAUCCAUACAACUUGCUCCUCCACAACAAAUGGGAGAAUCAUCCUCUUACCUCCAGGACAAGUCCCUUCCUGAAAAGCUCUUCAUUGUCUCUUGAAAACGGUCUGUGAAAGUGCCAAACCACCAGCUCUCCAGAUGUGGCUGAAUAUCAAGGUGUCUACUUUCACAAAAUUUUCAGAAUUCAUAUAUUUGGUUUUUCAUCGUUCUCCAAUACGGAAAACUGACUCACGUUUCAAUCUUCUUAAAUGUAACUUUCUUUCUUCUAGAAGAUGGUCCUAAUAAGAAUGCUUCUUGAAAUAUAGACAAGAAUAAGAUGUUAUCUUAGCUCUAACACUCAGGCAAAAUCCAGCCCCUGUGAGAUCCAGGAUAUCAUCCCUCAGUCUCAUAUUAAAAAACAGU